UCUGAGUGGAGGUGGUGGCCGCAGCGGGCGCAAGGGGAGGCCGGGUGUCCGCGCAGAAGGCUGUGGGGCGAUGGGGCGGCCGCACGGGCAUCCGCGCGUUGGGGUCGCCCGGGUCACGUUCAUGAGGCCGGGGAGGCGAAGACUGGGCACCGAGCGGUUCGCUAGGCUCGCGCGGUUCUGAGGGGCAGUGGGACUGGGGGAGCACGUGCGCUGCGGCUGGACCGCUCCCCGCGGCGGGCAGGGUACAGGGUGCGACCGAGCCUCCGGGCGCUCUCUGCUGCGCGGCUAUUUCGGGGCCUGUGACCUCAGCCAGGAAAGUCCCAGAAACACAGCCCCACCCUUCCCCUCAACCUCCUUGACACUCUCUUCUCCUACCCACUACCCCUAACUCAUGUUGACCAGCCUGGCCAACAUGGCAAAACCUCAUCUCUACUAAAAAUAUACCAAAGAUGCUGCGGGAAGCUAGGCGCCUGCAAACCUGGUUUCCUAGCCCUAACUCUGUGUGACCCAGAACAGGGUCUGUGCCUCCUGGACGUUAGUCCGCUUGUCUGUAAAAUGAAGCGACACCUGCAUGAGAUGAUGCAAGGUAUGAAGCACCCUGCACUGGGGGUGCUGGUGCUAGGUGCUCCAGGGUUACUAGUUUCUUCCUGACCCUGCCACUGAUGUGCUCUGUGGCUUAGAGCAAUUUCACUUAACCUCUUAACCUCGGGGGCCUGGCUCCCCGCUUCCUAGGAUGAGUCAAUUGUCUUUCUAGCCCCAGGGUCCUGGGAGCCAGGCCUUCUUGAACCACGGGAGUUAGAGGCAAGCUAAGAGCAGGCACCGCCUCCUGGUGUCCGGGCUCUCACUUUCCUUCCCUGAGCCCUCACCCUCUUCUUUCCCCACGCUUCCCACCCCACAGCUCAGAGCCCUCUAGCCUGGUCUCUUGACUUCUCUAAGGUUCCUCUGACAAGUGAGUUUCGUCAUCCUCCCUGAUGGCUGGAAUGAGGUUGUGCCUAAGAUGGUUGAGCCCCGCCCCCACGCCCAGAGGCUCUGAGGUUUCGGUCCGCUGGGACUUUAAAGGGCAUCCCAGGACAACCUUCCUACGUGUUCCUACCGAGGGAGCAGCUUAUCAGCAUCUGCUGAAGACAGAGACAACAGGUCCCCAAUCUGUGAGUGAAGAGGCUAAGAAGGAAGCGCCUUCAGAGGUCUCCUGAGGUUCCCCACCCCUGAAAACAAACAACAAAGGACAGAAAGAGAAAGAAAAAGAAUGCUAGAAAAAUUCUGAAAAAGAAAAGGACGACCCAGCAAGAGGGUCCAUGCCAGAUGUGGGCCCCACAAUCUUGGAAUUCCCAGCCUCAAAACUGUGAGCCAAUACAUUUCUGUUUAUGACUAUUAUUCCAUUCUGUGGGAUUUUAUUAUAGCAGCACAAAACGGAUUAAGAUGUCUUAUCAGUCUGGCUACAAAAAAAAAAAGCAAUGACAAAGUUGAAUAACAUAUUCUGUGGGCAAUUUCUUUUUUUCCUUUUUUUUUUUUUUUUUUUUUGAGACUGAGUCUUGCUCUGUUUCUAGGCUAGAAUACAGUGGUGAGAUCUCAGCUCACCGCAACCUCUGACUCCUGGGUUCAAGCAAUUCUCCCGCCUCAGCCUCCCAAGUAGCUGGGGUUACAGGCAUGCACUGCCACACUCAACUAAUUUUUGUAUUUUUAGUAAAGAUGGGUGGGGUUUCACCAUGUUGGCCAGGAUGGUCUCAGUCUCCUGAUUUUGUGAUCCGCCUGCCUAAGCCUCCCAAAGCGCUGGGAUCACAGACAUGAGCCACCUCGCCCGGCCCUGUGACCAUGUCUAUGAGGAAAUAGUACUACUCUUACAUGUGUGCUCUCACACAUGACUCUCACACAUGUGAAUAUAAAUUGGUAAAAGGGCAUUUUGGCGAAAUCUAUCAAAAUGCAUUCAGAUAACGUAUUUCUGGGAAUUUAUGCUUCAGAUAGACUUGCAUGAGUAAUAAAUCAUGUAUGUUUAAAGUUAUUCUCAGCAGCACUGUUUGUAAUUGCCAAAGAUUGGAAACAACUCAACUGUCCAUUAGUAAGGGGCUAGAUUAGGUAGAACACAAUCCACCCAUAAAAUGGAAUACUAUGUGGCUAUGAAAAAGAAUCAGGGAGUCAGGGAGAUCUGUGUGUUCUUUUUUUUUUUUUUUUUACAAAGUUUAUUCUUAAAUGUGCAAUAGCUCCAACACU